rnacentral:rRNA from 1 species
UACAGAGGUGGCAAGCGUUGUUCGGAAUUACUGGGCGUAAAGGGCGCGUAGGCGGUCCGAUAAGUCCUGUGUGACAUCCCUCGGCUCAACUGAGGAACUGCACGGGAGACUGUCGGGCUUGAGUUCGGGAGAGGGAAGCGGAAUUCCGGGUGUAGCGGUGAAAUGCGUAGAUAUCCGGAGGAACACCGGUGGCGAAGGCGGCUUCCUGGACCGACACUGACGCUGAGGCGCGAAAGCUAGGGGAGCAAACGGG